UGGGGAAUAUUGGACAAUGGGGGAAACCCUGAUCCAGCAAUGCCGCGUGAGUGAUGAAGGCCUUAGGGUUGUAAAGCUCUUUCGCCUGAGACGAUGAUGACGGUAUCAGGAGAAGAAGCCCCGGCUAAUUCCGUGCCAGCAGCCGCGGUAAUACGGAAGGGGCUAGCGUUGUUCGGAAUUACUGGGCGUAAAGCGCGUGCAGGCGGUUAGACAAGUGAGGCGUGAAAGCCCUGGGCUCAACCUGGGAAUUGCGCUUCAGACUGUUUGACUUGAGUUCGGGAGAGGGUGGUGGAAUUCCCAGUGUAGAGGUGAAAUUCGUAGAUAUUGGGAGGAACACCGGUGGCGAAGGCGGCCGCCUGGCCCGUAACUGACGCUAUAGCGCGAAAGCGUGGGGAGCAAACA
rnacentral:rRNA from 1 species